rnacentral:rRNA from 1 species
GACAGAGGCCCCAAGCGUUAGGCGGAAUCACUGGGCUUAAAGCGUGUGUAGGCGGAUCGUUAAGUGUCUUGUGAAAUCCCACGGCUCACCCGUGGAACUGCUGGGCAUACUGGCGAUCUUGGGCCAACUAGGGGCAGCCGGAACAAGCGGUGGAGCGGUGAAAUGCGUAGAUAUGUGGAGGAAUACCGAUGGCGAAGGCAGCCCCCUGGGAUAACACUGACGCUCAUGCACGAAAGCGUGGGGAGCAAACAGG